rnacentral:rRNA from 1 species
CUACGGGUUGCACCAGUAAGGAAUAUUGCGCAAUGGAGGCAGCUCUGACGCAGCCAUGCCGCGUGCAGGAAGAAGGCCUUAUGGGUCGUAAACUGCUUUUAUUUAGGAAUAAACCCCCGAACGUGUUCGGGGCUGAAGGUACUAAACGAAUAAGCACCGGCUAACUCCGUGCCAGCAGCCGCGGUAAUACGGAGGGUGCAAGCGUUAUCCGGAUUUAUUGGGUUUAAAGGGUGCGCAGGCGGGCUAUUAAGUCAGUGGUGAAAUCCCGGGGCUCAACUCCGGAACUGCCAUUGAUACUGAUAGUCUUGAGUUUGGUUGAAGUGGGCGGAAUGUAGCAUGUAGCGGUGAAAUGCAUAGAUAUGCUACAGAACACCAAUCGCGAAGGCAGCUCACUAAGCCAAAACUGACGCUCAUGCACGAAAGCGUGGGGAUCAAACAGGAUUAGAUACCCUCGUAGUC